CAUCAGGCCUAAUUGGCUAAACAGCCCAAACACACAAUAAAUAGAACCAAGAUUGAAUCAAAGAAGCCCAAGUUAAUUAGCCCAUGAAGAAAAUGAAGUACCCAAAUUGAUCAAUCGGAAAUCACGAGGAGUAAGAGAGGAGACGAAGCGAUGAAACAGAGAAUGAUGAGAGAUGAUCUGAGAUUUUUAGGAGAGCCAAAUUUGAAGCAUCUGAGAAGCUUGGGGAGGGUUUGUGAGGCAGAUACUAGCUAUUCUGUUCCGGAUUAUUAGAUCUGCAUCUCGAAUCAAAGUAUCAAUUGAUUUGAAAGCGUUCCGAUGGAGACGAUUGUUACGCUCCGACCAAAUGCAAUAAAUCGAAGCUUGCCAUGCAAUUAGCAGAAGUUUUCGUCUUGGCUUUGAGACAGAGUAUGAGCUUAGCUGGGUGAGAAGUGUAUCCCAACUUCGAGAGGAUAGGUAGUUGCACUUGCUGGAGAGAAAAUCCCAAAUUGCACCUGAGAAGCUACAAUCGAAGAACAAAUGAGAGCGAGAUUCUGGACUAGCACUACAGAGAAGGCACGACGGAUCAGAGAAAGCGUUUCGAGAGGAUAGGUAGUGCCUCUUAACAAUCGUCUACAUCGGAAGACCAGUUGCUUGACCAGAAGUAGUGCCUUCUUGUGAAAGGUAAUCUCUGUAGUGCCUUCUUGUGAAAGGUAAUCUCUGAUUUUUCCAAGUGGAGACCAGUUGCUUGACCAGAAGUAGCAGUUCUCCCCCUUACCUACAGACUGUUUGAUCCAUGGUAUACCAGUGAGCCCAAACAGAACCAGGCCUGAAGAACAACAACCAAAUCAGCUUUAGUGCAGAAGUAGUAUUCCAGCUGGAAAUGUCCUUCAACCCAAGACCCCCUUCUUCCUUGCUACGACACACAUUCUCCCAAGAAACUUUAGCAGAGGUAAGCCCUUCAGUUUUACCCUUCCAAAGGAAUUUAGCAGAGAUGGAGUUAAUUUCCGAAAUGCAUCCUUUAGGGAGAAUGAAAGCAUUUGACUAGAAGUUAAUAAUCCCAGCAAUGACUGUUGAAAGCAGUUGCAACCUUCCUGCAAAAGAUAAAGACCUGACUGUCCAAGAGUGAAGUUUGGAUUUUAUAGACUGAAUAAGAGAAACACACUGCAGCAAGGAGAUUUUCUUCGUGCAGAGGGGAACGCCAAGAGAACAGAGACGUCUUUUCGAUGUUAACAGCAAGUCCAGAUCUGUUUUCAAAAUCCUUCAACACUUCCAAGAUAUUUGUUAUGGAGUUAAGGGAGCCAUCGGAGAAGAUUAGCAGAUCAUCGGCAAAACAGAGUUGGGAGGAACCCUGAAGAGAAGAAUCUUUGAAUGGCUGAAAGCACCUCAUGACCAACUAUUGGCCAAGCAGCUUUGAAGAACGAAGAAGUAAACCCAUCAGGCCCAGGAGACUUGUUGGGGUUCAGCUUGAGUAGAGUCCUUGUGAUUUCAGCAGUUGUAGGAAAGGAGGAUAAGACUGAUUUAUGGUGCUCACAACAGUUAAAGCUUUGAAGCUCCAAAAACCAGGAGAAAGGAGAACUGAUAUGCAUCAAAUAUUGAGGGGCAAGAAACUGCUGGAAAUGAGAGACCGCAAUAUCACUCAUUUCCUCCGGGUCAGAAGUAGAUGAACCAUUAUCCAAGCAUAAAGAUCUGAUGGAGUUGUAGGAUGCUCUAGCCAUGGCAACUCUGUAGAAGAAAGUAGUGUUCUGGUCCCCUAGGUGUAACCAAUUGAUUCUGGACUUCUGUUUGAAAAAAGACUCCUCAAUUCCUCUGAGGAAUAACCAUUUAGAAUGGAGGUCCCUUUCAGCUUGGAAAAUGUCUGAGGAUGGAUUAUCUAUAGCUUGAACCUGCAUAACUUUUAACAAACUGUUAGUAACACUCACUCUCCUCUGAAUAUCUGAAAAGCUCUCUUUGUUUA